AAACAAUUUAGGAUAUUAUCAGAAAUAUAGACAAAUAGGUCUUCCACAAUAAUCGACUAAUCUUCCAUAACAUUUUACUUUUGGUGGUGGUAUCACUGGUAUUGGACAGCAUAUUGGCCGUGGAUAAUAACAGGAGGCAGAUACAUUGUAAAACGAACAAGGAUACUUUCACGAAAUAUACACGCAGUCGUACAUUGAUUCAGGAAUCGAUCAGCGAUACUAUGUACAACACAACCACGGAAGCGUGCACGAUGUCGAAAUAAUUCGCAGAUAAUGCGGUUGCACUUUUCUCAAAUUUGGCACGCGGUGCAUCUGCUCGUAUAUUAUUUCCAUUUUUGUAUUUUUAUCCCUUUUCCCUUAUUCCAGUGUCUUUAUGUGCUCACGUAACAAAUUAAACAAUCUUAAAUACACUAUAAUCUCUUUCAGUGAAAUAAGACACUGGAACAUGUCUCAACUGAUGCCUGCUCUUUCCGUUUUUUAUAAUAAAUUUUCCAAAAUAAACAUAUUCGAUAAACUAUCGAGAGAGUAAACAGAUCAGUUUUGCAAUAGAUCGAAAAUGUUUAAGGUUAGAAACAGAAACCAGUCAAGACUAUUUCUAUUUUAAUUUAAAUCCUUUAGAUCCUAGCCAAAUAAAUUUAAAUGAAUAGUUAACUUACAUACGCAAAUUAUACGUAAGUACGAUACGAAAAAAAAAAAAAUAGUAAAAAAUAAAAAAAAAUAAAAGAAAGAAAAUAAUAAGUACUUAAGGCAAUAUUAUAUAUAUAUAUACUAUAUAUAAUCAUCGUUGUAUAUACAAUUCUCCGAACUAACCUGAAAAAUCAAGUUACUUCAAUGUAAAUGAAGAUUUACGAUGUCCAUGACAUCGGUUCUUUACGUUUGCUUCUAAAUGGAAAGAGAGAAAAAAGAAAAUUGAAACGAAGAAACAAGCUGCGUUUCUAUUAAUACACAUUUAAGUACAUCGAUCAAUCAAUGUUCGUUUUCUCUAUCACACGUUUUUCUUCUAUACAAAUUCCGUGAUAUGUACCUCGUGAUCGUGCUUGUGCUAUCUCGACAAUUAUUUCAUUUAUUUAUUUUUUUUUGUUUUCUCUGGUUCUAUCCAUUAUUUUCUCUUCGGUAUGUCGAUGUUCGUUUCUUUCGCUUUUGUUGUUUUUGAUUUACCGGACGGACAGAAGAUGAUUCGAAAGAUCAACUCAAUCAUGCCAAACGAUCGAGAACGAUAUCGGGCUUAGAAUUCUCCUGUAACGAGUAUCGAUUACGUGUUCCAUCUUUAGGUGGCACGGUAUAGUCUGUUUAGAAUCAAUCGAUCUUUCGAGAUUAACGAAAAGAAUUAUUUGUUAUAUGUCGAAGGUUAUUUGAGAAACGUGGUAUAUUUACAUAUUUCCGAUGAUAAAGUGAAAGUGGAAAAAAAAUUAACUAGGACAGCACCGAGUUGGACCCACUCACGAAAGAUUUUUAUAACAUAUCUGAAAAUCAAGUCGAAGCUAAAGAUUAUAAAA